rnacentral:rRNA from 1 species
GGAUCAGUGGCGAACGGGUGAGUAACACGUGAGCAACCUGCCCCUGACUCUGGGAUAAGCGCUGGAAACGGCGUCUAAUACUGGAUAUGUGACGUGACCGCAUGGUCUGCGUCUGGAAAGAAUUUCGGUUGGGGAUGGGCUCGCGGCCUAUCAGCUUGUUGGUGAGGUAAUGGCUCACCAAGGCGUCGACGGGUAGCCGGCCUGAGAGGGUGACCGGCCACACUGGGACUGAGACACGGCCCAGACUCCUACGGGAGGCAGCAGUGGGGAAUAUUGCACAAUGGGCGCAAGCCUGAUGCAGCAACGCCGCGUGAGGGACGACGGCCUUCGGGUUGUAAACCUCUUUUAGCAGGGAAGAAGCGAAAGUGACGGUACCUGCAGAAAAAGCGCCGGCUAACUACGUGCCAGCAGCCGCGGUAAUACGUAGGGCGCAAGCGUUAUCCGGAAUUAUUGGGCGUAAAGAGCUCGUAGGCGGUUUGUCGCGUCUGCUGUGAAAUCCGGAGGCUCAACCUCCGGCCUGCAGUGGGUACGGGCAGACUAGAGUGCGGUAGGGGAGAUUGGAAUUCCUGGUGUAGCGGUGGAAUGCGCAGAUAUCAGGAGGAACACCGAUGGCGAAGGCAGAUCUCUGGGCCGUAACUGACGCUGAGGAGCGAAAGGGUGGGGAGCAAACAGGCUUAGAUACCCUGGUAGUCCACCCCGUAAACGUUGGGAACUAGUUGUGGGGUCCAUUCCACGGAUUCCGUGACGCAGCUAACGCAUUAAGUUCCCCGCCUGGGGAGUACGGCCGCAAGGCUAAAACUCAAAGGAAUUGACGGGGACCCGCACAAGCGGCGGAGCAUGCGGAUUAAUUCGAUGCAACGCGAAGAACCUUACCAAGGCUUGACAUAUACGAGAACGGGCCAGAAAUGGUCAACUCUUUGGACACUCGUAAACAGGUGGUGCAUGGUUGUCGUCAGCUCGUGUCGUGAGAU